AAAAGAAAAAAUUAGGGGGGGGGGGGUAAAGAGCUCGAAGUGGAUUUUGGGGGCCGGCGGCCGGCCGGUCCAAGGGGUGUACGGAACGUCCUGGCCUUCCCUCCGGGUCUCCGCCGGGGCUCUUGACUGAGUGCCGGCGGCGGCCGGAACGUUUACUUUGAAAAAAUUAGAGUGUUCAAAGCAGGCUCUCGAGCCUGGAUAAUGGUGCAUGGAAUAAUGGAAUAGGACCUCGGUUCUAUUUUGUUGGUUUUCGGAGCGCGAGGUAAUGAUUAAGAGGGACAGACGGGGGCAUUCGUACUGUGCCGUUAGAGGUGAAAUUCUUGGAUCGGCGCAAGACGAACGACUGCGAAAGCAUUUGCCAAGAAUGUUUUCUUUAAUCAAGAGCGAAAGUCAGAGGUUCGAAGACGAUCAGAUACCGUCCUAGUUCUGACUAUAAACGAUGCCAACUAGCGAUCGGGGGGCGUUACAUUGACGACCCCUCCGGCAGCUUACGGGAAACCAAAGUCUUUGGGUUCCGGGGGAAGUAUGGUUGCAAAGCUGAAACUUAAAGGAAUUGACGGAAGGGCACCACCAGGAGUGGAGCCUGCGGCUUAAUUUGACUCAACACGGGAAAUCUCACCCGGCCCGGACACAGUGAGGAUUGACAGAUUGAGAGCUCUUUCUUGAUUCUGUGGGUGGUGGUGCAUGGCCGUUCUUAGUUGGUGGAGCGAUUUGUCUGGUUAAUUCCGAUAACGAACGAGACUCUGGCUUGCUAAAUAGUUACGCGACCAUCCCGGUCGGCGUUUAACUUCUUAGAGGGACAAGUGGCGUUUAGCCACACGAGAUUGAGU
rnacentral:ncRNA from 1 species